UCGGACGGGGCACAGCCCGCCCACUCGUAAGCGACCUACUAGAUUCAGGCCCGCGUGCCCAUG
rnacentral:rRNA from 1 species